AAUGAACGUUGGCGGCGUGGAUUAGGCAUGCAAGUCGAGCGAGAAGUUUCCCUUCGGGGAAUGGACAGCGGCGAACGGGGUAGUAAUGCGUAGGUGACGUACCUCAAGGACCGGGAUAGCUGUGGGAAACUGCAGGUAAUACCGGAUAAUCUCUCAUUCUUUGAAUGUUUGAGAGCAAAUGUUUUUCGCCUUGAGAGCGGCUUACGUGGUACUAGGUUGUUGGUGAGGUAACGGCUCACCAAGCCUACGAUGCCUAGGGGGUGUGAGAGCAUGGCCCCCACACUGGGACUGAGAUACUGCCCAGACACCUACGGGUGCUGCAGUCGAGAAUCUUCGGCAAUGGGCGAAAGCCUGACCGAGCGACGCCGCGUGCGGGAUGACGGCCUUGGGUUGUAAACCGCUGUCAGAGGGGAUGAACGCAGACUUCGGUCUGCUUGAC
rnacentral:rRNA from 1 species